rnacentral:rRNA from 1 species
GGUGAGUAACACGUGGAUGACCUACCUAUAAGACUGGGAUAACUUCGGGAAACCGGAGCUAAUACCGGAUAAUAUUUUGAACCGCAUGGUUCAAAAGUGAAAGACGGUCUUGCUGUCACUUAUAGAUGGAUCCGCGUUGCAUUAGCUAGUUGGUAAGGUAACGGCUUACCAAGGCAACGAUGCAUAGCCGACCUGAGAGGGUGAUCGGCCACACUGGAACUGAGACACGGUCCAG